GAACGGGUGAGUAACACGUGGGCAACCUGCCCAAAAGAGGGGGAUAACACUUGGAAACAGGUGCUAAUACCGCAUAACCAUAGUUACCGCAUGGUAGCUAUGUAAAAGGUGGCUAUGCUACCGCUUUUGGAUGGGCCCGCGGCGCAUUAGCUAGUUGGUGGGGUAAAGGCUUACCAAGGCAAUGAUGCGUAGCCGAACUGAGAGGUUGAUCGGCCACAUUGGGACUGAGACACGGCCCAAACUCCUACGGGAGGCAGCAGUAGGGAAUCUUCCACAAUGGGCGAAAGCCUGAUGGAGCAACGCCGCGUGGGUGAAGAAGGUCUUCGGAUCGUAAAACCCUGUUGUUAGAGAAGAAAGUGCGUGAGAGUAACUGUUCACGUUUCGACGGUAUCUAACCAGAAAGCCACGGCUAACUACGUGCCAGCAGCCGCGGUAAUACGUAGGUGGCAAGCGUUAUCCGGAUUUAUUGGGCGUAAAGGGAACGCAGGCGGUCUUUUAAGUCUGAUGUGAAAGCCUUCGGCUUAACCGGAGUAGUGCAUUGGAAACUGGGAGACUUGAGUGCAGAAGAGGAGAGUGGAACUCCAUGUGUAGCGGUGAAAUGCGUAGAUAUAUGGAAGAACACCAGUGGCGAGAGCGGCUCUCUGGUCUGU
rnacentral:rRNA from 1 species